rnacentral:rRNA from 1 species
GAUGAAGCGUUGAAUUGAAGCCCGAGUAAACGGCGGCCGUAACUAUAACGGUCCUAAGGUAGCGAAAUUCCUUGUCGGUUAAAUACCGACCUGCAUGAAUGGCGUAACGAGAUGGGAGCUGUCUCAACCAGAGAUUCAGUGAAAUUGUAGUGGAGGUGAAAAUUCCUCCUACCCGCGGCAAGACGGAAAGACCCCGUGGACCUUUACUACA